GCGUAUUUUCCGAAAUUAUUACAGACUAAAAAUCUAUUUUAGGAUUAACCUCACGGUAUGGAUUUUGUUAAAUCACAGACAAGGGGAUUUAUCUGAUAAAACAAUGCCGACUUAUAGUCGGCAUUUUUAUU
rnacentral:sRNA from 1 species